AAGGUUUCCGUAGGUGAACCUGCGGAAGGAUCAUUAUAUGGCCCAGUACCACCAACAGUCCCCACAUGGACAGCCCGCGAGAGGCCUGGCAAGCCUUUCGGGGGCGUUGGUUGCCUACAGUAUUGGUCGGUCUAUGUCUCUGUGUCAGUAGGUACGCGAUCGUGCUGAACCUCUGCCCUUGAUCGUCCCCCCAAACUCUCCCGCCAGGAGCUUAGACGGUCUUGCGGUGCGGCGCUCAAAAGGCCGCCAGAGCAUAUUCGGGAAUCCUUGACUAUGAGUACCUUUCUAUUGCUUCCUUCGGUGGACUUGUCCGCCGACCGGAGCCCCCAUAAACCCUUUUGCGUCAGCAUUAAUUCUCUGAUAUGUACCUAAAUCGUUACAACUUUCAACAAUGGAUCUCUUGGUUCUGGCAUCGAUGAAGAACGCAGCGAAAUGCGAUAAGUAGUGUGAAUUGCAGAAUUCCGUGAAUCAUCGAAUCUUUGAACGCACAUUGCGCCCCUUGGUAUUCCAUGGGGCAUGCCUGUUCGAGCGUCAUUUACCCCUCAAGCACUGCUUGGUGUUGGGCGUCUGUCCCGCCUUUUCGCGCGCGGACUCGCCCCAAAAGCAUUGGCAGCGGUCUUUUCCAGCCUUUCGCGCAGCAGUUUGCGCUAUUGAGGCCUUGGGUAGACCCGCGUCCACGAAGCAUCCACCACUUUUGACCUCGGAUCAGGUAGGGAUACCCGCUGAACUUAAGC
rnacentral:rRNA from 1 species